UACGGGGGGGGCAAGCGUUGUUCGGAAUCACUGGGCUUAAAGGGUGCGUAGGCGGCGCAGUAAGUUGGGUGUGAAAUCCCUCGGCUUAACCGAGGAAUUGCGCCCAAAACUACUGUGCUCGAGGGAGGUAGAGGUGAGCGGAACUUAGGGUGGAGCGGUGAAAUGCGUUGAUAUCCUAAGGAACACCGGUGGCGAAAGCGGCUCACUGGACCUCUUCUGACGCUGAGGCACGAAAGCUAGGGUAGCAAACGGG
rnacentral:rRNA from 1 species